rnacentral:lncRNA from 1 species
UUGAUGCUUCCAUCUUCCUACCAAAUCUAGGAACAUUCGCAUAGAUUUUCUUGUUUUCUAAAAAAAGAUUAUCCAGUUUCACCGCAACAAUCUGAUAUCUGCGACUUCCCUGAAUCUAGAAAAGCCAAACCUCUUUCCAAACUUGUUUCUCUUGGGAUGUAUUACGACCUUCGAGAUUUCCCCAAAACCUUGAAUGCCUCAAAAAUAUCCUUUGCUUCGUAAUGAUUUGGGAACUCCAAAAUAUAUAUAUAAGA